GGUCUCCACGUACGUACGGGCAUGUCCGUACCAAAAACCGUCGCAUUUCUAGCCUUCUCAUUGGCUCACAGGCCUCAGAUGGACAGUCCCUCAGCAGCCAGCAUCGCAUUGCAGUCGGCAAUUGUUUUUUUGUUUUGUUUUCUUUCUCGGUUGUUAAUGGCCGCCUGCUUUCAUGAAAAAUGGAUGGAAACGUCAGUUUUAAAAAGGGGCUUACUGCUCGCGAGUUAAGAAGAAAUGCACACAGAAGAGGAAUAACUAAAAUAAGAAAGGAAGAUAAAGCUAAAGCCCAAGGUGAACCCUCGUCAAGACCUCGUUGUUUGGGUGCUUUGCGUUCACCAGAAAAUAGUGAAUCUACAAAAAGGAAGAAAACAGCUAAAUCAUUAGCUACAAAGAAACCUCGCAUGGAUAAUCCUGAUAAUAGUGUUAGUUCUCCUUCUGCAAAUGUGUUUUCAACUGCAUUGGAAAGUGAUAUUACCCAACUUGAUGAUAGGUUUGAUGUUUCCUGUCAAGAAAAGCUUGCACAAAGUGGUGAACAAUUGUUGAAAACUUUAUGCGUAUUAUGCUUUUCAUUUAGGAGGCUAUAAACUCUCACCGGUUAAGCUCUCCUAGAACAUGAUUGGAUUGAUUGGCCAUUUAAAUGCUGUUUGAAAUCAAUCACUCUUUAUCAAUGAGAAUGGAUAUUCUACUACGGAUACAUGGUUGCUGGUUUAUGUGUGUGGAUUGAUUAAUCACCAAUAUUGAGCUAGUUACGUGACGCUCACGGCAAAGUCUUCGUUUUCAUUACAACACUACAUGAUUGCUGGGAAGGUGAAGACUUACCAAGCUGUUUUUAGUUCCGUCUUAUUAUGGAAUCCUGAAGAAACUUCGAAAGUUGCGUCUACUAGAUGGGAUUGAUUAAUUAAUUUCUUAGACUAGAAGUACGUGUCAUAUCUGUCAUUCUGUGUUGUUCAGUUAACAAGGCUUGUCGCUCGAUUUCACGCGAAUAAUUCAUGAGAAAUACAAAUUUCGUAAC
rnacentral:lncRNA from 1 species